UAAUGAGUAACACCUAAAACCUUGACAAAAAAAGAUACAUCUGCCAUUUUUUUCAUAGAAUAGGACCCUCCACCCUACCGAUAUGUAUCCUUCUAAAAACAAAGCAGCCAUUUUCAUGGCUUUUGACUUAACAAAAACAAAGCAGCCAUCUCACAAACAACCACCCUCAACUUUCUGUUUUCCACCCAAAGACCAUCCCCGAACUUCGUCUUCUCAGCGCCUAAAGACACAACCGACCUCUUUAAUCUUCUCUACACCCAAGAACACCAAACGACUCACCCUUCCACACAGAUGUACAUAGAGAACGGCAGAGAGAGUGACGAUUAGGGAGGAGGACGGACGAGAAACAAAGGCUCACUGACGGCCUUUCAUCAAACGAAAAUUAAUCGCACCUCCUUCUUCUUCAAGAGAAAUUUUCUCUUUAGAUUUCCAUUAAAACUCAAGUCUCAAUAUUAAACCACAAGAUAGCUCUUUAAACACCUCAAAACCAGCCCUAAAACAACCAUGAGAAUCCAUGGAACAAACCCCUUUCCCUUCUAGUUUUGGUUGCAAUCGAGUAGCGAGGUUCAAUCCGUCGAAUUCGUUGGUCCAGAGUUCAGUCAAUAGCUCAUUGUGGUCGAUUCGAUUUGGAUUUUUACGUUUGGAGAAUACUGAGCAAAGAUACUGAUAUCGGAGCACUUGAACUGCAAUGAGGUUGCUGCCUUCAGUCCUGUAGGCGUCCGUGGGCCUUGGCGUCACUUCCUAUCUUCCCUUUAUCCUAUUUCCUUUACUUAUUUUAGAAACAAUGUAUCUUUUAUCUUUCAGACUUUGUAUGUAGUAUUCUUAGACCGUCUGUGAAACUGUGACACCAAAUUCUGGGUAGAGUUGUAUUUAGACUUCCGCAGUUUGUAUUAAGAUAAAUUAUUAGAUUUUGUCUUCUGCUUAAUUA